GUUUCGGGGCGAGGCGCAAUUCCUCACCGGUGGUAAAGUCCACGACUGCCUUAUGGCACUGAUUUGGUGAAAUUCCAAAACCGACGGUAUAGUCCGGAUGAAAGAAA
rnacentral:ncRNA from 1 species